UACGUAGGGUGCGAGCGUUAAUCGGAAUUACUGGGCGUAAAGCGUGCGCAGGCGGCUUUGCAAGACAGAUGUGAAAUCCCCGGGCUCAACCUGGGAACUGCAUUUGUGACUGUAAGGCUAGAGUACGGCAGAGGGGGAUGGAAUUCCGCGUGUAGCAGUGAAAUGUGUAGAUAUGCGGAGGAACACCAAUGGCGAAGGCAAUCCCCUGGGCCUGUACUGACGCUCAUGCACGAAAGCGUGGGGAGCAAACAGG
rnacentral:rRNA from 1 species